AUAAGGCCAAGUGCUUAUUUCGGGGGGGGGGGGUCAAAAGAAAAUAAGACCCUGUCUUAUUUUUGGGGAAACACGAUAGUUGUACUACAUGACCUAGAAAACUGAAUAAAGCAAAAGAAUGACUUAUCAGUCAACCUAGUGAUUUAUUUAUUGCUUACAUGGUCUUCAAAGCACCAGUGGAUGAAAGCUACCAUCAAAAUGUAGAUUGGAAUUUGCCAAAAAGGGAAGAUAAGCCAAAGCCAAGAAAUCCAAAUUCUCAGGAACAAACUUAACAAAGAUGUCUAGGGGGAUUCUCAGUCAUCCAGGUCAUGGUUGUCCCAGAGAACCAUUCAAAGAGAUGAAGAGUAGUUUUACAAAGAUAUUGGUAAAGAUACCAAAGCUGGAAGUUGAGAAUACCAAAAUAAACAUGUUUAUUUACAUUACAAAAAGACUGAGAUCUCUUGAAAACCCAUAAUGGUGGUAAAGGUGAAAGGAACAAGAAGACAGAUGAUGGCAAGAUGAAUUGACUCAGCAAUAGUUGCAGAGUUGGAAGUCCUGAAAGGUCAAGUUGGAGACCUGGAGAAGAUCUAUCCAUUUGGUCACAAAAAGUCAACACCAAUUGAAUGGGGCACCUAAUCUGCCAAUCAAUCACAGUAUAUGGAAAAUGAAAGCAUUAAUUAUAAAUAACAUUUAAAGUCUGGAACAACCUGGGUAUAAACUAUAUAAUUUUCAAUUCUCUCAGCAGUUGUGUUAAAGGAUUUCCCUAGUAUUCAGAUUAUUAGAAUUUUUUUUUUUUACAAUUUUUAAGCCAUAAAUUGUGUCUUCACAUUUCUAUCAUAAGACUUCAAAGAUAUUAUUUUGAAAAAGCUGGAACCAACUUUAGAGAUAACUUAGAGUACUUUAUUUUUCAAACUGUCACAAAAGGCAGUCUGUUCUAAACUGCAUGAUACAUAUGUAAUACUAUCAAUUAUAAUCAUAUUUCUAUUCCCCUGCAUUUUAUGCAAAAAGUAGACCAUAAAAUUUGUUAUCUGUGUAAGAAAAGUAGUCCAUCUGAAAUGUUUAAAAAACUGGUUUUCAGUAAAACAAUUAGGCAUUUAAUAUCUCAAACUGAAUCUGGCACGUUUCAUGUGCUUCAUUUUAUAUACCUGAAAUCUCCAUAUUAUUUUAUGCUAGACAUUGCUAGAUAAAUAUAAGUCCAUGGAAUGUGACUGUGUUGUGCAUGUGUGCCCUUGUGUUUGUAUGGGCCUCUACGUGUGUGCCUGUGCAUUUGGAAUGUAAAUAGGUAGUCUUUAUAUCAGAACAGACAACUGUGUUACUCUUAAUUUGCAACUGUUUUAUAGUAUUACAUUAAAAACAGAUUUAGACAAUUAUUUUUUAUAAACAUAAUUAAUUCUACAGAUCAUCUACAUUAUGGUUAAAGGCCAAUGAGAUUUUUUAGUAUUACUGGAACAGUAAAAAGUGAUCAACAGCACAUAAAGGUGCUGUGAAGAGCCCUGAGCCUUUAAAGAAACAGGCAUGGAGUUUAAAUUCAUAUUUUGCUGCAAGUAAAUAAAUGUUUCCACUCCUUAUGACAUACAGCUAUUUUUAUUUUUUACUGGAAAAAUUCAUUUGAAAUAUGACUCUUUUCCAAUCAGGUUUCUCCAUGCAAUACUUACAUUCUACUCAAAAGACUAAAGAAAAACAAUGUUGUUGACUGAAUUCUUAGUGCUGAUAAUGGGGUCCCUAAAUAUUUUGACAAUUUCGUCUUUUAAAAUGUAUGUUCAAGCCACAGGUUCAUUCUUCAGUAUUUCCACUGAAGAUACCUCCAAGGCUGUUACAUUGUACACUACUUAAGUUCUUAUUUGUCAUUGCACAAAGAUGAUUGUCUUUUUCCUUCUAUCUUUCCCAGAAGAUUGUAAUGAAUCCCCAUGUAUAGCCUUACCACUUGGAGAGGCAUCCUAUUCAACUACUCAUAUAAAGAAGGGCCCAGAAGAUUAACUUUUCAUUGGAAUUUGCAAUAGUAAUUGCAUUGCUACCUUUUUCACAAAAAUCUGCAAAAUACAGAAAAGUUUGCAGGGGUCCAGACAAUGUUGCACUAUUCUUUUCCAAUUUGUACAUUUACCAGAAAU